rnacentral:rRNA from 1 species
AGUGAACGCUGGCGGUAGGCCUAACACAUGCAAGUCGAACGGCAGCACAGUAAGAGCUUGCUCUUACGGGUGGCGAGUGGCGGAAGGGUGAGGAAUAUAUCGGAAUCUACUUUUUCGUGGGGGAUAACGUAGGGAAACUUACGCUAAUACCGCAUAAGAACUACGGGUGAAAGCAGGGGAUCUUCGGACCUUGCGCGGUUGAAUGAGCCGAUGUUGGAUUAGCUAGUUGGCGGGGUAAAGGCCCACGAAGGCGACGAUCCGUAGCUGGUCUGAGAGGAUGAUCGGCCACACUGGAACUUGGACACGCUCCAGACUCCUACGGGAGGCAGCAGUGUGGAAUAUUGGACAAUGGUCGCAAGCCUGAUCCAGCCAUACCGCGUGUGUGAAGAAGGCCUUCGGUUUGUAAAGCCCUUUUGUUGGGAAAGAAAAGCAGCCGGUUAAUACCCCGCUGUUCUGACGGUACCCAAAGAAUAAGCACCGGCUAACUUCGUG